AGUCACUGACAUUAGAUACCCCCGGUAGUCCCAGCCGUAAACGAUGUGCGUUAGGUGUAUCGACGACCACGAGUUGUCGAGGUGCCGAAGGGAAACCGUGAAACGUACCGCCUGGGAAGUACGGUCGCAAGGCUGAAACUUAAAGGAAUUGGCGGGGAGCACCACAACAGGUGGAGCCUGCGGUUUAAUUGGACUCAACGCCGGACAUCUCACCGGAUAAGACAGCUGAAUGAUUGCCGGGCUGAAGACUCUGCAUGACUAGCUG
rnacentral:rRNA from 1 species